CUUGACAUACACCGGAAAGCAUCAGAGAUGGUGCCCCCCCUUGUGGUCGGUGUACAGGUGGUGCAUGGCUGUCGUCAGCUCGUGUCGUGAGAUGUUGGGUUAAGUCCCGCAACGAGCGCAACCCUUGUCCCGUGUUGCCAGCAACUCUUCGGAGGUUGGGGACUCACGGGAGACCGCCGGGGUCAACUCGGAGGAAGGUGGGGACGACGUCAAGUCAUCAUGCCCCUUAUGUCUUGGGCUGCACACGUGCUACAAUGGCCGGUACAAUGAGCUGCGAUACCGCAAGGUGGAGCGAAUCUCAAAAAGCCGGUCUCAGUUCGGAUUGGGGUCUGCAACUCGACCCCAUGAAGUCGGAGUCGCUAGUAAUCGCAGAUCAGCAUUGCUGCGGUGAAUACGUUCCCGGGCCUUGUACACACCGCCCGUCACGUCACGAAAGUCGGUAACACCCGAAGCCGGUGGCCCAACCCCUUGUGGGAGGGAGCUGUCGAAGGUGGGACUGGCGAUUGGGACGAAGUCGUAACAAGGUAGGCGUAGCGAG
rnacentral:rRNA from 1 species